AAGCGUCCCCUCCCCUUGUCUGUAAAGCUGAGGACAUCCCUCCCGAAAUGGAGGAGCUCUGUCAUAGAGUUAUUAAACCGCUAAGAUCCCGAAGUCCAACCCCAACCCACCCCACCACCGUGCCCGCAUCCCUCAGUGCCACAUCCCCAAGGUUAUGGAACAGCCACCGCUCUGACCCUACCCAUCCCUUCAGACAUCCAUUUUCAUAUCAACCCAGGGCAAUGUGCUGCACUCAGAAAGGCUGUGCACAAAGCUUGGUGAGGCCUUUGAUGGACAGCCACUGCCUUCAGAGGACGUGAGUAAUAGGGAACUCUAAACUAAGCCCUGGGAGACACAUUGGAGACAGCCACCCCAGUGAGCACAGCUGGAAUGCACCCCAUGGCCCCAUCACCUGAACUGCAACCCUGCAGCCUUGCACAGGUUUAUCCUGUUCAGAAUCACUUUCAAGAGGAAUCCCCAAUCGCAUUCUCUCCUUCACCCUGCCUCUGCUCCAGCUCUGCUUAAAUGUCUAUUAAUUUCUCAGAGCUCAUGUUACAGCUGUACGGGAUGCACUGCUUUUAUCAUGACUCAGCAGUGGUAUUGGAUCAAUACUAUUUCUUGCACCUGGUACCACUGGUCUUCACAAGGAGCAAAUAAUUUUUUUUAUCAGAAGAAGCAGCUACAUGAGAUUCUUGCUUUGCUUGGGCAUUGAAAACAAACUUUCCAUGUCCUGAGAUUUGGAGUCAAGUUUACUCAGACUCCACACAAGUGAAAAAAAAAAGCCCCCCC